CGCGUAGGUGGUUUGAUUAGUCGGAUGUGAAAGCCCCGGGCUUAACCUGGGAAUUGCAUUCGAUACUGUCAGGCUAGAGUAUGGUAGAGGGAAGUGGAAUUCCAGGUGUAGCGGUGAAAUGCGUAGAUAUCUGGAGGAACAUCAGUGGCGAAGGCGACUUCCUGGACCAAUACUGACACUGAGGUGCGAAAGCGUGGGGAGCGAACA
rnacentral:rRNA from 1 species